GGGGUUAUGGCUCAGUGGUAGAGCACUUACCUGGCAUGUGUGAGUCGUUGGGUUCAAUUCUCAAUACCA
rfam:Ictidomys tridecemlineatus contig096630, whole genome shotgun sequence.